AAGUCGUAACAAGGUUUCCGUAGGUGAACCUGCGGAAGGAUCAUUAACAAAUCUAUGAGCGAAAGCUCAUCAACCUUUGUGAAUUGGGUUGUGUAGUUGGUAACAAUUAUUCAACUUUGUUGGGGACCCUUUGUGUAUGUAAUGUAAUGUAAUGUAAUGUAAUGUAAUAUAAUAGAAAGAUUAUUUCGAAAGAUUUAAUUUUUCUAUUGCAUGCAUGCAUAUCAUAUCAUAUCAUAUCAUAUCAUAUCAUAUAUAAUAUUAACAUUGUCUGAUUAUAGAUUGAAGUCGUAAGAUUUCAAAUAAAAAUACAACUUUUAACAAUGGAUCUCUAGGCUCUU
rnacentral:misc_RNA from 1 species